AUGAGCCCUCCUGCCGACUCCCCCCUCCGUCGCAGGAUGCGGGAAUGCUCACCCCGGCGAGCCCCCCACCCCUGCCCGGGAGCACCGCGGCUUCCCUUCUGGGGCAGGGGCCAGGCUGGGAAUGUAUCCUGCGGUCAGAGCAAGCCGGGGUCCCGGGGACGGGAUGCCGGGGUGCAGGGGGGCGGGGAGGCGGAGGCGGAGGCGCCGUGUUUCCGGGCAGGUCUGAUCUGGGGGCUGGGCUUCCCUGCAGAAACGCCCAGAGCGGGCUCCGUGAUGUUCCUUUCCUCCCCGCGCCAUGGGGCUCCACAACCACCACCUGCCCCGCCAAUCGCCGCGCACCACAGCAGGGAAAGGAGAGAGCUUGAAAUGCCGGAGUGGCUGUGAUGAUGACGACAUAGGACACAGACAUGGUCAUAGCACACAAAAUGGGGCUGCGUUGGAGACAGAGGCGAGCCCGUCCCCUGGGAAAUGCGUUCUUCCUUUCCUCUCUGCUCCCUGGAAGCGACGGGCUAGUCAGGAAGGUGAGGGUCCUCACCCCUCCCAGCCGUGCCGAGCCAUUGCCACUCUGGGGACCCUCACUCUUAGCCCCACUCUGUUCUCGGGGGGGGGGUGUGAGGGCCCCAGGGGCCAUGCCGCUGGUGGUGACUGUCCUGCCGGCCUUUGGAGAGCCGGGAGGGCCAUGCUGUUGGGGGCUGCCUGCCUGGCAUCAUUAGGGGGCCUCCUGUCUCUCCGUCCACCGCUGGCACUGCAUGGCCAGAGGCGAGGGUAACAGAGAGGAAGAUGUUCUCGGGAGAGCUGGUGAUUCGACCUGACACAUGUCAGACAGACCCUGGCCUCCUGCCUGCGUCCCCCCAGGGGAAGAGCGGCCGUGGCCGCUGCUCCCAGAGCCCCGAGAACAGCUCCUAAAAGCUGAGCAUGGCUACUAAUGAGCCCGCAGAAGGGUUGCCCAACCGGGGGGGGGGGGAGCAGGCAGGGGCGGUGGGCACCCUCCGCCUGCUGGUGGGGCCCCGCGGUGAGGCUGCCCUCACCCCUUAUGCUCCUGGCCACCUUGUGGGGCGUCUAAGGUUGACCCUGGAAACCACCUGCUGCCCUCUCUUAUCAGGACCGUCCUUCAAGUGUGGAACUUUCCGGAAUGUUUUCUCUGCAUUGAGGCAUGUAUUUAUUAUUAUUUCAAGACCACCCCCUGGUGUAUUUAUCCUUAAAUAAAGCCGGCGGCCGGAACCUGGCGCUCUUACA
rnacentral:lncRNA from 1 species